rnacentral:rRNA from 1 species
AUUGAACGCUGGCGGCAGGCUUAACACAUGCAAGUCGAACGAGUGGCGGACGGGUGAGUAAUGCUUGGGAAUCUAGCUUAUGGAGGGGGAUAACUACGGGAAACUGUAGCUAAUACCGCGUACCAUAGGAUGAGCCCAAGUGGGAUUAGGUAGUUGGUGGGGUAAAGGCUCACCAAGCCGACGAUCUCUCGCUGGUCUGAGAGGAUGACCAGCGACGAUGGAACUUGGACACGGCCCAGACUCCUACGGGAUGCAGCAGUGGGGAUGAUUGCGCAUUGGGUGGAACCUGACGCAGCCAUGCCGCGUGAAUGAAGAAGGCCUUCGGGUUGUAAAGUUCUUUCGGUAGCGAGGCGUUAACUACAGAAGAAGCACCGGCUAACUCCGUGCCAGCAGCCGCGGUAAUUC